rnacentral:rRNA from 1 species
UACGGAGGGUGCAAGCGUUGUCCGGAAUCAUUGGGCGUAAAGCGCGCGCAGGCGGCCCGGCAAGCAUGGCGUGAAAGCCCCCGGCUCAACCGGGGAGGGUCGUCGUGGACUGCCGGGCUUGAGGGCGGUAGGGGUUGGUGGAAUGCCCGGUGUAGUGGUGAAAUGCGUAGAGAUCGGGCGGAACACCCGUGGCGAAGGCGGCCAACUGGGCCGACCCUGACGCUGAGGCGCGAAGGCGUGGGGAGCGAACGGG